AGAACAGCAUUAUGGGAUGCUAUUUUGCUUCUCUGCCAUAGAAUCAAGGUAGGAUAUGGAGCGGUUGUUCGUGGAGUUCAUCUCGGUUCUUCGGCUUUGAACAUCCUUUCAGUUCUCGAUUCGGCGAAUGAAAGUUGAAGAUCAGGAGAUAAGAGCACCACUUGCUAAACUGGUUUCUAAUGUGUAACCUUCUCUGAUCUUUUUCAAUUUGCUUUAUGAAUUCAAAAACUUAGAAUCAUCUUUUCAAGGUCGUCUUUAACUAGUUGCAUGUAUCCUGAUUUUUCAAAUCAGUGAGGGAAACAAAAUUUGGUUGUAUUGAUUUCAAAUUUAACACAUUUGAAGUUUAGAAU